AGGAGCUGAGCCCACAACCCAAUCUCGAAGGUCCACGAUCUCGGAACAGAUUGUUCUCUCUAAGCCCUCAUCUACCGCCGCCUCCGCCUCCGCUGACAUCCCUCAUCGCAGCGGCCGCGACGCCGGCCGAUGACCCCUCUUCCACGUCAUGUACUUCUGAGAGGCAGGGACAGGUAAUCGAGGUCCUUAACUUCUCGAUCAUGCGGGUGUGGGACCUCGCGGCGCACUCUAUCGGCUCCGCCUGAGGAUUUGCCCUUCCUGUUCGACGCACUUAGGUCGUGCGCGAGCCCACCGGAACCUUCCUAGAUGCGCAAAUCUCCAGAGGAUGAUGAAGACAAAUGGGUAGAACCUGAUCAAUUGUGCAGUGGAUUUGGACCCUGAGGCACCAGUCUCUUGGAAACUCCGUAAGUUUGGCUGAAUUCAUCAUCGUCGCCAGCAUCGUCGUGCUCUUGAGAAGGAGAUAUCUUGGGGAACUGACCCAUGGAUGAUGGUGCAGAGCGCUCACUCUUCUGUUUCACCACCUCUCUGCUGACGGUCCUUGCAUGGUUGAGACCGGCGAGCUGCCCUGCAACCAACAGUAGGAGGAGGAGGAGGAGGAAGAAGACCAUGUGCGGCAGAGGGAAGUGCUGCAACCUCAUGGUCUCAGAGUGAGGAAGCUGAACAGGUGGGAGAGAGAGAGGGAGGGAAGCAGGGGAGCAAGCAAGCAAGCAACGUUGAAUUAAAGCCAGGCAGGUGGCCAAGUCUAUCAAUAUGGAGCCAGCUGCCAUGGUGAGGAGUAUGCUACUGUGACCAAAGUAUCCUUGUGAUAUGUUCAGCGUUUCCCCUUCAUCCAUGCAUGGUAGUGAGGUCACUUGUGACAGUCUCAGAUGGGCUUAAGAAGCUAUUUGGUGGCGAAUGCCGAGUGCCGUGUCAUAGAUAAAGGGUGUUGGUUGACCUUGUAAGGGGUGGAUGUCCUCUGUCGAGUGAUUACGAUAGAAUUUAGCAGUACAAAACUAUUACCUUGUAUGAUCUUGACAUCUUUGAAACCAGUGUGUGGAGUAUGCAUCA